rnacentral:lncRNA from 1 species
UUUUUUUUUUUUUUUUUUUUUUUUUUUUUGUCUUUUUAGGGCCGCACCCGCAGCACAUGGAGGUUCCCAGACUAGGGGUCCAAUCAGAGCUAUAGCUGCUGGCCUACACCACAGCCAGAGCAACUUAGGAUCCAAGCCACAUCUUCAACCUACACCACAGCUCACGGCAAUGCUGGAUCCUUAACCCAAUGAGCAAGAGCAGAGAUUGAACCUAUGUCCUCAUGGAUGCUAGAGCUAGUCAGAUUCUUUUCCACUGAGCCACGAUGGGAACUCUCCUGGUGUAAAUUAGAUAAUUACAGUACCAUUUAUGUCAAUCUGUUAGGGACAGUCCUAAUUUUAUAUCUGUUGUUGAAGGAUCCUAUCUAGCUUGGCAUUUGUCACCGAUGUUUUAUUUUAUAACAAAGUAUUAUUAUAAAGAGACCUUUACUUCGUUUGCUUUUUCUCCCUCUGUGUGUUCCUUGUCCUGUGUGAGAUGCCUGUGUAGUGAGCUCUGAAAGAUGACCCUUUUCUCCUAACCCUUUCUAGGUGCAACGUCAUAUUAACACCUCUAUUUCAAGGGAUGGGUAUUCUGGGGAGAGUGGCUAGGGACCUAUAACUCCAAGUGGUUGGAGUCAGGGGAAACAGGAAAUUUCAGGUUAGUUCGCCUGAACUAUAUGGGAAAUGGAGUCUGAGGAGUCAUGCUGCAGAGUGAAAGGAAGUCUGAAUGUUCUUGUUGGUAACAGGACGUUUUAUGAGUUUUUCAUUUAUUGAAUGGUUUAAAUCUACAACUGUUUUUAAUAUUUGGUAAAUUUUUAAAACUGUAUUUUGUAAUAAAUAAUUUUGGCAACAAAAGAGCUUUAAAAAACCAGAGCUUUUUAAAUGAAAUAGUCCCUGACUAUUUUUCUAUUUUCAAGAAAGUUGACCAUGAGUAUUUACUUCCGUAAAAUGUUUCUGACAUUUAUCAUCCUCUGGAGGGAUUGUAGUAAAAUCACCGAAGUUAAGAAAAUCAGGAGAUCAUUUUCUGGAAAAAAAUACUACAUAUUUUUCAAAGUUAGUACUUAUUUUUUUAAUAAUGAUUUUUAUUUUUUCCACUAUAGCUGGUUCACAGUGUUCUGUCAAUUUUCUACUGUACAGCGUGGUGACCCACUUACACAUACUUGUAUACAUUCUUUUUUUUCACAUUAUCAUGCUCCAUCAUAAGUGACUAGAUAUAGUUCCAAGUGCUAUACAGCAGGAUCUCAUUGCUUAUUUUAAGAAGACUAUGGCCUCGUAUAGUUGCAGAAUGUCCCAUCUCUAUUUCAGUCUAUGAAACAUGACUUUUCAUUUAGAUCUAAUGGUUAUUUUUUGAAAUGAAUUUCACUCAUAUUGGAGUCCAAGUUUUCUUUAGUAUGUGCAGGAAGCGAAUUGGUAACUAUUAAUAUUGUUGUUGUGAAUACAUAACUACUUUAUAAACAACAAAUGAUAGUCUCAUAUCAAUGACAUUGAAUACUUCAAAUAGAAAAUCAGUUGGGGUAAUUUUCAUAAUAACUAGAUAUUUUUCAUAUCCAAUUUAUGAAAUCAAAGUAAAGCUCUUGGAAUUUCAUUCUUUUGAAGGUGAAACAUCUUACAUUAUUUUGAAUGAUAUAAAUUCUGUCUAAGAGUUUAAAAUGGAAGAUAAAGUUAUUUGUUUUUGUGGGUAUGAUAUAAAUACCAAUUUUGGUGGAGGACAUAUGGUGGUAAAAACUAUUUUUACUAGAUAAACCUGUGGAGCAGAUAUGUACUUGGAAGGGAUUGUGGAGAGCCCAUAUUUCAUAAUUGUGUUCAAUUUGAAAUGUAUUAUCACUUGAAUAGAAGCUAUAGAUACCAACAUUUAGAAGUACUUUUAUGUAUACACAGAUCACCAAAUUAUAAAAUUUUUGAGUUGAGGCUCAUGUUGGGUAUAAACAAGUACUUUAGCUAUUGAUUAAGUUUUAGAAGUAUUUGAAACUUUGAGAAACUAUUUUAUAAAUCAAUAUAAGUGUUCCAUGGUGGUAUUAAACAUCUAUAAAUGAGUGCUGUAACUUUUGGUUGUAUUUUAUUUAAAAUCAAUUGGAUAUCCAUUCAUCUGUUGAUGGACAUCUAGGUUGUUUUCAUGUCUUGGCUAUUGUGAAUAGUGCUGCUGUGAACAUAGAUGUAUCUUUCUGAAUUAUGGUUUUGUCCAAAUACAUGCUCAGGGUUGGGGUUGCUAGAUCAUAUGUUAGUUGUGUUUUUAGUUUUUGAGGAACCUCUUCACUGUUUUCCAUAGUGAUUGUACCAAUUUACAUUCCCUCCAAUAGUGUAGGAGGAUUCCCUUUUCUCUACACCUUCUCCAGUAUUUGUUAUUUGUAGACUUAUUAAUGAUGGCCAUCCUCUGAGUGUGGCAUCUCAUAGUUUUGAUUUGCAUUUCUCUAAUGAGCAGUGUUGAGCAUUUUUUCAGGUGCCUACUGGCCAUCUGUAUGUCUUCUCUGGAGAAAUGUCUAUUUAGGUCUUCUGCCCAUUUUUCAAGUGGGUUAUUUUUUGUUGAGUUGUAUGUGUUGUUUGUACAUUAUGGAGAUCAAGCCCUUGUCGGUUACAUCAUUUGCAACUAUUUUUUCCCAUUCCAUAGGUUAUCUUUCCAUUUUUUAUUUAUGAUUUCCUUUGCUGUGCAAAAGCUUAUUAGGUUUGAUUAGUUCCCAUUUGUUUAUUUUUGUUUUUAUUUCUAUUGCCUUGGGAGAGAUGUAUGUAUAUGCAGUGGAAUACUACUCAGUCAAAAAAAGAAAUGGAAGGAAAAAAAGAAAUGGAAGGAUGCCAACAUGGAUGCAACUAGAGAUUAUCAUAUUAAAUGAAGUAAUUCAGAAAGAGAAAGAUGAAUACCACAUGAUACCAUUUAUAUGUGGAAUCUAAAAUAUGGCAUAGAUGAACCUGUCUACAAAAGAGAAAUAGACUCAUACACGGAGACAACAGACUUGUGGUUGCCAAGGAGGAGAGGGGAGGGAGUGGGAUGUACUGGGAGUUUGGGAUUAGUAGAUGCAAACUAUGACAUUUAGAGUGGAUAAGCAGUGAUGUCCUGCUGUAUAGCACAGGGAACUAUAUCCAGUCUCUUGGUAUAGACCAUGAUGGAAGAUAUAUGAGAAAGAGAAUUUAUAUAUAUGUGUGACUGGGUCACUUUGCUGUUUAGCAGAAAUUGUACAACAUUGCAAAUCAACUACACUUUAAAAAAAA